rnacentral:rRNA from 1 species
ACGAACGCUGGCGGCGUGCCUAAUACAUGCAAGUCGAGCGGACGAAUCGAAAGCUUGCUUUUGAUUCGUUAGCGGCGGACGGGGGAGUAACACGUGGGCAACCUGCCCUGUAGACGGGGAUAACACCGAGAAAUCGGUGCUAAUACCGGAUAACACGAAAUGUCGCAUGACGUUUCGUUGAAAGACGGCGCAAGCUGUCGCUACAGGAUGGGCCCGCGGCGCAUUAGCUAGUUGGUGAGGUAACGGCUCACCAAGGCGACGAUGCGUAGCCGACCUGAGAGGGUGAUCGGCCACACUGGGACUGAGACACGGCCCAGACUCCUACGGGAGGCAGCAGUAAGGAAUCUUCCGCAAUGGACGAAAGUCUGACGGAGCAACGCCGCGUGAGCGAAGAAGGCCUUCGGGUCGUAAAGCUCUGUUGUUAGGGAAGAACAAGUAACGCAGUAACUGGCGUUACCGUGACGGUACCUAACGAGAAAGCCACGGCUAACUACGUG